rnacentral:rRNA from 1 species
UUAUGGCCACAUCAUGUUGAAACACUGGUUCCCAUGAGAUCACCGAAGUUAAACAACAUCGAGCCAGGACAGUACCUAGAUGGGUGACUGCUUGGGAAUACCAGGUACUGUAAG